ensembl:lncRNA
CUGCCUGGGGUGGGGGUGGAUGCUGGUAAACCACCCUCAGCCUCACUUGCUGAGUGGAAGCUGGGGGACUUCCGGGUUCAGGAGUACCCGGAGUCUUGUUCUCUGAGCCAGUUCCCCGAGACCUAGAAGGUGUGAGUGGUUUUGAAGAUGUGUCUACAGCACUGGGAAUACAUCUUGGAGGCAGAGGUCUUUCCUGGCAUGGGUGAGGCCCUAAUUUUGGUCUCCAGUCCUCGAAAUGAUGUUGGUGAUAAAGAGGAGGAGGAGAAAGAUGAUGGUCAUGGUAGUGGUGAUGAUGAUAGGACCAUGUGGUGUGAACUGUACUACGGGGAUUUUGUGUGUGUUUGUGUGGGGGUGAACAUGUGUACGCUUGUAUGUAUUGGCUAAGAAACGGUGUCAGGUGUCAUUCCUCAGGUAUCACCCACCCUUUUUGUAAGGCAGCAUCUCUCACUGGCCCGGAACUAACCUGGUUACUGAGUGCAGGUUCACAGAAUGCAUGCCCUUCCCUUCUGGCCUGCAGGCACACUGGGUGCAUGCCCUUCCCUUCUGGCCUGCAGGCACACUGGGUGCAUGCCCUUCCCUUCUGGCCUGCAGACACACUGGGUGCAUGCCCUUCUGGCCUUCAGGCACACUGGGUGCAUGCCCUUCCCUUCUGGCCUGCAGGCACACUGGGUGCACGCUCUUUCAUCCCUAAGCAGUUGCCUUUGUGAUGGCUCCCACCUGCUCUGCCCUUCCCCAGUCCUGACUGGGUUGAGUCUCUCUCUCCUUUACUUGGGUCUUCUCCGUUGCACCCUCAGAAAGACCUUCUCUGUUGGCCAUUGUGGCUCACGUUGUUUUACCCACGAGGGUCACGGGAGUGAGAACUUCAGUAGUAACAGCCACUGGAGCUAAUAUUACAGAAUGCCAGGUUCAUGCCAGGCAGCUUGGCGUGUGUGGAUCCAGUUGGUCCUCGUAUUAAGUCCUUGGGAAGAAUACUGCCUUGGGGUUUGUUUGUUUGUUGUUGUUUGUUUGUUUGUUUUAAUAAUACGUUAUUAUUUGUUUGCUGCCUGAGUGUUUCACUUGCAUGUAAGUCUGUGCACCUUGUGAGUACCUGGUGCCCUCAGAGGUCAGAAGAGGUCAUCAGAUCCCCUGGAACUGGAAUCAUGAAUGUUUGUGCCAAGUGGGCGUGAGGACUGAUUCAAGCCCUCUGCGAGAGCAGCGGGUGCUCUUAAGCGCCGAGCCACCUCUCCAGGCUGGAGGAAGAGCAUUGCUAAUGCACAGAGUGAGGCCGAGGCCCUAGUGAGGGGAGCAUAGUCGCUUGGUGCUGUCUCUGCAGUAACGAGGUCACGAGGCUUCAUUAUAGGACAUCGGUACAGAAAUGAGAAAACGAUGGUUUCUUGUACUUAGUCCUCAGAAAACCAUCUCUAAGACCAUGGUGGCUCAGCCACUCCCUUCUCCUGGACUAGUUGCACACACAGGUAGAUGAGUUAAUUCCCACAUCUGUGAAGGGCAGAUAAAAGCAUCUGCCCCGUCAGUAAGAUCAUUUUGUGACAUGCACAGGGUGCCCAGAUGAGGGCUGUUACUGAGUAUCCUCCUGCCCAGAAGGAGGAAAGAGAAUUAUCCACCACUUUCUUUUCAAGUGUGGGGCCGAGCCUGUCAGACUUCAUCCACACCAUCUUUAUUGGGCAUCCAUAGCAUCCAGAGACUCUUCAACGUGUUAGAGAUUCUAUCUAGAAUCUUCUGUCCUGGUGCGAGUGUGUGUGCAUGUGCAUGUGUGUGUGUGCUCGCACGCACGUGCUCCUGUAGAGCCAGGACCUUGCUGUGUAGCAGAGGCUGGCUGCAGUCUUGAGAUGGUUAAGUCCUGAGUCCCAGAACUACAGGCAUAUGCUGCCAUGCCUGUCUUCUGGCUAGAAUCCCAGAACGGUUUUCUUUGACCCGUGCACACAAGGCAUGCUGUGCUGUUACACCCGACCAGUGGAAUUAUAGUAUUCAAGACGGCAGCGGCUUCUGAUGGGAAGUGAUGAGCAGCUGUGACCUCCCAUCUGUUCUGCCCUUUCCCAGUCGCACCUUAGGUCCUGCCCCACUGCUGCUUCCUGAUACCCACCUUCCCUUCGGCCAUCCUACUUGGCUGGGAGAGCUGACCAUUUGAAGCCCCCUAGUCUAUAACUGGCUCCCUUACACAGAAAGUCUUCACUAUUCGCCUACCAGCCCGGCUGUCGAAUUCAGCAUCUGGAACCCAAUGCACGGGUCCUGUUUUGCUUUCGGUCAUUUCUCUUCCCCUAAAAGUGUUCAUGACAAAUACGCCGGCGGAUGCUAUGCCAUGCGCAGCGUGGGCCCCAUGGGAACGGACUCGUCUCGCGUCCUCUUCCUGAGACGGGCUUUCCAGUCUCUGAAGUCUUACCUAAGAGGAAGCUUUAGCCCCUGGGUUCAGGCUCCUUCGCCCCCGUUUCUAUCACUCACUUGUUUCCUGUGUCUCAUUUGUUGCUUGAUGUGUUAGCAACCAAACAUGCCCUCACACGUCGUCGGGGAAUGCUUGCAGAGCCGCUGGGCAGCAAUCCCAUGAUCCCCCACUUUCCACGAAGGACAGUCAUCAAAGCGGCUCGCUCUGGGAAGCUUCCAGCCUGCAGGUCCCGCCGAUUCUGUGGUUUCUCUUCAGUUUGUCUGCUUCGCUCCUGCCCUGCCUCAGGCCUCUGUGGCCCCUUCUGUCCACUAAGUGUAAUGUUACUUCCGGAAUCCUCACUAUGUGUGUCCGCUGUACAUGGUUCUGUGGCACAAGCUCCUUUUCAUCCAAGACUGAUUUAUAUUUUCUGCAUGUUCUCCCCCAGCUCCUCCAUCCUCUCCUCUCUCCCCACACCCCGAAAUCCAUUUGUCCCUCAAGACAGACGCUUCUGCUCUCACACGGGUCAUGUAUAUGUGC